rnacentral:tRNA from 1 species
GCCUAGUUAGCUUAGUUGGUAGCGCGUCUGUCUUGUAAGCGCUAGGUCGCGGGUUCGAUUCCCGCCCGGGGCA